AAUGAACGUUGGCGGCAUGGAUUAGGCAUGCAAGUCGGGGGAAUCCCAGCAAUGGGGGAACCGGCGUAAGGGGCAGUAAGGCAUGGGUACCUACCUUGGGGUUCGGGAUAGCCAUCAGAGAUGGUGGGUAAUACCGGAUGACGUCGUGAGACCAACGAUUCAUCGCCCUUAGAGGGGCCCAUGUGAUAUUAGCUAGUUGGUGGGGUAACGGCCCACCAAGGCGAAGAUGUCUAGCGGGUGUGAGAGCACGACCCGCGCCACUCGCACUGAGACACUGGCGAGACACCUACGGGUGGCUGCAGUCGAGGAUCUUCGGCAAUGAGCGCAAGCUUGACCGAGCGAUGCCGCGUGAGCGAUGAAGGCCUUCGGGUUGUAAAGCUCUUUAGUGGGGGAGAAAAGCCGCAAGGUGUGAUCUAUCCCAAAAAUAAGCACGGGCUAAGUUCGUGCCAGCAGCCGCCGUAA
rnacentral:rRNA from 1 species